rnacentral:misc_RNA from 1 species
AAUUAAUCGUUAAUUAUAGUACAACUCUGGAGUGAACACAGAGCGGGAUUCAUUACCACUACCCAAGAUUUCAGAUCUCAUUAGCAUUUAAAUCUCGAGAAACCCAUUUCACACAAAAAGCCUAAAGCUACAUACAGCUUCUCUAAUAUGGGCUCUCCCCUACAAUGUUCCCAGGGGGAUUAUAGAAACACACGGUUAAGCUAGCUUGCUCCUUUACACAAGAAGCUUGUGCACACCCCAACUCCAGGGACUUCUUCCACACUACCUGAGUGUAAACACCGCACUGGUGAUUUGGUACACAGGAGUUGUCAGUAUGGUUGUAGUAAAUCUUCUCUUCCACCCAGUGAUCAACAACCAUGCGAGGAGUCACAGCCAUUCCACUAGCCCAUAGUUGGUUUCCACCGUAAACGCUGUUGCUGAGGUUUGCUACCAAAUUGACAACCCAUUUUGUUUCUUUGGUACCUGACUAGUCUGCUAGUAGCGUUGGCUAGCAUCUCGCUCCAUUUGAGAGGGCCAACCCCGACUGCGGCUCUUGCCUGGUUGUGUGCUUCUAGGAAGUCUCUGGCUGCGGUUGGCAUGGGGCUGGGGAUGGGGCUUGAUGGCUGUGCUGCACCCUGGAAUAUGG